GAUGAACGCUGGCGGCGUGCCUAAUACAUGCAAGUCGAGCGAACGGACGAGAAGCUUGCUUCUCUGAUGUUAGCGGCGGACGGGUGAGUAACACGUGGAUAACCUACCUAUAAGACUGGGAUAACUUCGGGAAACCGGAGCUAAUACCGGAUGAUAUUUUGAACCGCAUGGUUCAAAAGUGAAAGACGGUCUUGCUGUCACUUAUAGAUGGAUCCGCGCUGCAUUAGCUAGUUGGUAAGGUAACGGCUUACCAAGGCAACGAUGCAUAGCCGACCUGAGAGGGUGAUCGGCCACACUGGAACUGAGACACGGUCCAGACUCCUACGGGAGGCAGCAGUAGGGAAUCUUCCGCAAUGGGCGAAAGCCUGACGGAGCAACGCCGCGUGAGUGAUGAAGGUCUUCGGAUCGUAAAACUCUGUUAUUAGGGAAGAACAUAUGUGUAAGUAACUGUGCACAUCUUGACGGUACCUAAUCAGAAAGCCACGGCUAACUACGUGCCAGCAACCGCGGUAAUACGUAGGUGGCAAGCGUUAUCCGGAAUUAUUGGGCGUAAAGCGCGCGUAGGCGGUUUUUUAAGUCUGAUGUGAAAGCCCACGGCUCAACCGUGGAGGGUCAUUGGAAACUGGAAAACUUGAGUGCAGAAGAGGAAAGUGGAAUUCCAUGUGUAGCGGUGAAAUGCGCAGAGAUAUGGAGGAACACCAGUGGCGAAGGCGACUUUCUGGUCUGUAACUGACGCUGAUGUGCGAAAGCGUGGGGAUCAAACAGGAUUAGAUACCCUGGUAGUCCACGCCGUAAACGAUGAGUGCUAAGUGUUAGGGGGUUUCCGCCCCUUAGUGCUGCAGCUAACGCAUUAAGCACUCCGCCUGGGGAGUACGACCGCAAGGUUGAAACUCAAAGGAAUUGACGGGGACCCGCACAAGCGGUGGAGCAUGUGGUUUAAUUCGAAGCAACGCGAAGAACCUUACCAAAUCUUGACAUCCUUUGACAACUCUAGAGAUAGAGCCUUCCCCUUCGGGGGACAAAGUGACAGGUGGUGCAUGGUUGUCGUCAGCUCGUGUCGUGAGAUGUUGGGUUAAGUCCCGCAACGAGCGCAACCCUUAAGCUUAGUUGCCAUCAUUAAGUUGGGCACUCUAAGUUGACUGCCGGUGACAAACCGGAGGAAGGUGGGGAUGACGUCAAAUCAUCAUGCCCCUUAUGAUUUGGGCUACACACGUGCUACAAUGGACAAUACAAAGGGCAGCGAAACCGCGAGGUCAAGCAAAUCCCAUAAAGUUGUUCUCAGUUCGGAUUGUAGUCUGCAACUCGACUACAUGAAGCUGGAAUCGCUAGUAAUCGUAGAUCAGCAUGCUACGGUGAAUACGUUCCCGGGUCU
rnacentral:rRNA from 1 species